rnacentral:rRNA from 1 species
CUAGUAAUCGGAUAUCAGCCAUGAUCCGGUGAAUACGUUCCCGGGCCUUGUACACACCGCCCGUCAAGCCAUGGAAGCUGGGGGUGCCUGAAGUCGGUGACCGCAAGGAGCUGCCUAGGGUAAAACUGGUAACUAGGGCUAAGUCGUAACAAGGUAGCCGUACCGGAAGGUGCGGCUGGAACACCUCCUUUCUAGAGC